rfam:Triticum urartu cultivar G1812 contig1172462, whole genome shotgun sequence.
AACAUACUCCCUCCGUCCCAAAAUUCUUGUCUUACAUUUGUCUAAAUACGGAUAUAUUAAGUCACGUUUUAGUAUUAGAUACAAGACAAGAAUUUUGAGACGGAGGGAGUAGCAU